AUUGAACGCUAGCGGGAUGCUUUACACAUGCAAGUCGAACGGCAGCGCGGACUUCGGUCUGGCGGCUAGUGUCGCACGGGUGAGUAAUGUAUCGGAACGUGCCCAGUAGCGGGGGAUAACUACGCGAAAGCGUAGCUAAUACCGCAUACGCCCUACGGGGGAUAGCAGGGGAUCGUAAGACCUUGCACUAUUGGAGCGACCGAUAUCGCAUUAGCUAGUUGGUGGGGUAACGGGUCUCCAAGGGGACGAUCCGUAGCCGGUGUGAGAGGACGACCAGCCACACGGGAACUGAGACAGGGCCCAGACUCCUACGGGAGGCAGCAGAGGGGAAUGUUGGACAGUGGGGGCAACCCUGAUACAGCCAGCCCGCGUGUGAGAUGAAGGCGUUCGGGUUGUAAAGCACGUUUGGCAGGAAAGAAACGCCGCGGGCUAAUACCCCGUGGAAGUGACGGUACCUGCAGAAUAAGCACCGGCUAACUACGUG
rnacentral:rRNA from 1 species